rnacentral:rRNA from 1 species
ACAUGCUAAAAACCCCGACUUCGGAAGGGGUGUAUUUAUUAGAUAAAAAACCAAUGCCCUCUGGGCUCUUUGGUGAUUCAUAAUAACUUAACGAAUCGCAUGGCCUUGCGCCGGCGAUGGUUCAUUCAAAUUUCUGCCCUAUCAACUUUCGAUUGUAAGAUAGAGGCUUACAAUGGUAUUAACGGGUAGCGGGGAAUUAGGGUUCUAUUCCGGAGAGGGAGCCUGAGAAACGGCUACCACAUCCAAGGAAGGCAGCAGGCGCGCAAAUUACCCAAUGCUAAUUCAGCGAGGUAGUGACAAUAAAUACUGAUACGGGGCUCUUUCGGGUCUCGUAAUUGGAAUGAGUACAAUCUAAAUCCCUUAACGAGGAACAAUUGGAGGGCAAGUCUGGUGCCAGCAGCCGCGGUAAUUCCAGCUCCAAUAGCGUAUAUUAAAGUUGUUGCCGUUAAAAAGCUCGUAGUUGAACCUUGGACCUGGCUGAUCUGUCCUCCUAAUCGAGCGCACGGAUUCGGUCGGGUCUUUCCUUCUGGGGAGCCCUAUGCCCUUCACUGGGUGUAGUGGGGAACCAGGACUUUUACCUUGAAAAAAUUAGAGUGUUCAAAGCAGGCCUUUGCUCGAAUACAUUAGCAUGGAAUAAUAGAAUAGGACAUCGGUUCUAUUUUGUUGGUUUCUAGGACCGCUGUAAUGAUUAAUAGGGAUAGUCGGGGGCGUCAGUAUUCAAUUGUCAGAGGUGAAAUUCUUGGAUUUAUUGAAGACUAACUACUGCGAAAGCAUUCGCCAAGGAUGUUUUCAUUAAUCAGUGAACGAAAGUUAGGGGAUCGAAGACGAUCAGAUACCGUCGUAGUCUUAACCAUAAACUAUGCCGACUAGGGAUCGGACGGUGGUUUUUUUAUGCCCCGUUCGGCACCUUACGAGAAAUCAAAGUUUUUGGGCUCGGGGGGGAGUAUGGUCGCAAGGCUGAAACUUAAAGAAAUUGACGGAAGGGCACCACCAGGCGUGGAGCCUGCGGCUUAAUUUGACCCAACACGGGGAAACUCACCAGGUCCAGACAUGCUUAGGAUUGACAGAUUGAUAGCUCUUUCUUGAUUGUAUGGGUGGUGGUGCAUGGCCGUUCUUAGUUGGUGGAGUGAUUUGUCUGCUUAAUUGCGAUAACGAACGAGACCUUGACCUGCUAAAUAGCCAGGUUGACUUUUGUCGGCCGCCGGCUUCUUC